GUUUUCUGUUUGCCCCUUUUGUAUCUUCUCCAGACACUGAAACAGAAGUUUAAUGCUUGUACUCCACUCUUAGCUUGGUUUGCAAGUUUGGCUCUUCUGUGACAUUU